CAGGAGCAAGCGCUGCCGGGAGAGGGCAAUUCUUAGCAGGCUGCACUUGGAGUGGAAGCUCAAAUCUGCUGUGAAACAAGUUCAGAAAAGUCUGUAACUUCUUUUCCCUGAAAACUCUGAAGAAGCUAAAUUGAGAAGAGAACGAACUGGUGAGCUGGCCCUUCCCGGGGCUCGGGGG